UACGGGGGGGGCAAGCGUUGUUCGGAAUUACUGGGCGUAAAGGGUUUGUAGGUGGCUUGUUAAGUCAGACGUGAAAUCCCUCAGCUUAACUGGGGAACUGCGUCUGAUACUGGCGAGCUUGAGUGCAGGAGAGGAACGCGGAAUUCCAGGUGUAGCGGUGAAAUGCGUAGAUAUCUGGAGGAACACCGGUGGCGAAGGCGGCGUUCUGGACUGCAACUGACACUGAGAAACGAAAGCCAGGGUAGCAAAACGGG
rnacentral:rRNA from 1 species